rnacentral:rRNA from 1 species
UACGGAAGGCAGCAGUGGGGAAUAUUGCACAAUGGGCGAAAGCCUGAUGCAGCUAUGCCGCGUGUAUGAAGAAGGCCUUAGGGUUGUAAAGUACUUUCAUCGGGGAGGAAAAACAAAACUAAUAAUUUUAUUUCUUGACGUUACCCGAAAAAGAAGCACCGGCUAACUCCGUGCCAGCAGCCGCGGUAAUACGGAGGGUGCUAGCGUUAAUCAGAAUUACUGGGCGUAAAGAGCACGUAGGUGGUUUUUUUAAGUCAGAUGUGAAAUCCCUGGGCUUAACCUAGGAACUGCAUUUUGAAACUGAAAUACUAGAGUAUCGUAGAGGGAGGUAGAAUUCUAGGUGUAGCGGUGAAAUGCGUAGAUAUCUGGAGGAAUACCUGUGGCAAAGCGGCCUCCUAAACGAAUACUGACACUGAGGUGCGAAAGCGUGGGGAGCGAAACAGGGAUUAGAUACCCGU